rnacentral:tRNA from 3 species
AAAUCCGUCGACUUUAGAAAUCAUGAG